rnacentral:rRNA from 1 species
UCCGGAUUUAUUGGGCGUAAAGGGAGCGCAGGCGGUCAGGAAAGUCUGGAGUAAAAGGCUAUGGCUCAACCAUAGUGUGCUCUGGAAACUNUCUGACUUGAGUGCAGAAGGGGAGAGUGGAAUUCCAUGUGUAGCGGUGAAAUGCGUAGAUAUAUGGAGGAACACCAGUGGCGAAAGCGGCUCUCUGGUCUGUCACUGACGCUGAGGCUCGAAAGCGUGGGUAGCGAACAGGAUUAGAUACCCUGGUAGUCCACGCCGUAAACGAUGAGUGCUAGGUGUUAGGCCCUUUCCGGGGCUUAGUGCCGGAGCUAACGCAAUAAGCACUCCGCCUGGGGAGUACGACCGCAAGGUUGAAACUCAAAGGAAUUGACGGGGGCCCGCACAAGCGGUGGAGCAUGUGGUUUAAUUCGAAGCAACGCGAAGAACCUUACCAGGUCUUGACAUCCCGAUGCUAUUCUUAGAGAUAGGAAGUUACUUCGGUACAUCGGAGACAGGUGGUGCAUGGUUGUCGUCAGCUCGUGUCGUGAGAUGUUGGGUUAAGUCCCGCAACGAGCGCAACCCUUAUUGUUAGUUGCCAUCAUUAAGUUGGGCACUCUAGCGAGACUGCCGGUAAUAAACCGGAGGAAGGUGGGGAUGACGUCAAAUCAUCAUGCCCCUUAUGACCUGGGCUACACACGUGCUACAAUGGUCGGUACAACGAGUUGCGAGCCGGUGACGGCAAGCUAAUCUCUGAAAGCCGAUCUCAGUUCGGAUUGGAGGCUGCAACUCGCCUCCACGAAGUCGGAAUCGCUAGUAAUCGCGGAUCAGCACGCCGCGGUGAAUACGUUCCCGGGCCUUGUACACACCGCCCGUCACACCACGAGAGUUUGUAACACCCGAAGUCGGUGAGGUANCCUUUUAGGGGCCA